rnacentral:rRNA from 1 species
UACGUAGGGUGCAAGCGUUGUCCGGAAUUAUUGGGCGUAAAGGGCUCGUAGGCGGUUUGUUGCGUCGGGAGUGAAAACUCAGGGCUUAACCCUGAGCCUGCUUCCGAUACGGGCAGACUAGAGGUAUGCAGGGGAGAAUGGAAUUCCUGGUGUAGCGGUGAAAUGCGCAGAUAUCAGGAGGAACACCGGUGGCGAAGGCGGUUCUCUGGGCAUUACCUGACGCUGAGGAGCGAAAGCGUGGGUAGCGAACAGG